rnacentral:rRNA from 1 species
AGCUUUAUGUAAUUUCAUUUAAAGUAUAACCUGCCCACUGAAUUUUUUAAAUGGCCGCAGUACCUUGACUGUGCUAAGGUAGCAUAAUAAAUUGGCUUUUAAUUGAGGUCUUGAAUGAAAGGAUUAAUGGACAAUUACUGUCUUAUAUUAAAUUAUAAUAAUUUACUUAAAAGGUGAAAAUUCCUUUGGUUUAAUAUAAUAGACGAGAAGACCCUAGGAGUUUAAUAUUUUGUUGGGGCGACAUUAUAACAUAUAACUUAUAAUAAUUUUAAAUUUAAUUUAACGAAUAUUUUUAAUAAUAACUAAACUACCCUAGGGAUAACAGCAUAAUUUAAAUUUAUUUUAGGUUUGUGACCUCGAUGUUGGACUAAGGACAUUUAAAAUUAAUGAUAUUAAAUGAUAGUUCUGUUCGAACUUUUAACCUU